rnacentral:rRNA from 1 species
CCUACGGGUGGCAGCAGUGAGGAAUAUUGGUCAAUGGACGAGAGUCUGAACCAGCCAAGUAGCGUGAGGGAGGACUGCACAGUGGAUUGUAAACUUCUUUUGUAUGGGAAUAAAAUGUUCCACGUGUGGGAGUUUGUGUGUACCAGAUGAAUAAGGAUCGGCUAACUCCGUGCCAGCAGCCGCGGUAAUACGGAGGAUCCGAGCGUUAUCCGGAUUUAUUGGGUUUAAAGGGAGCGUAGGUGGAUUGUUAAGUCAGUUGUGAAAGUUUGCGGCUCAACCGUCGAAUUGCAGUUGAAACUGGCAGUCUUGAGUACAGGAGAGGUGGGCGGAAUGCGUGGUGUAGCGGUGAAAUGCUUAGAUAUCACGAAGAACUCCGAUUGCGAAGGCAGCUCACUGGACUGCAACUGACACUGAGGCUCGAAAGUGUGGGUAUCAAACAGGAUUAGAUACCCCGGUAGUC